rnacentral:lncRNA from 1 species
CCCGGUCGAGGAUGGGGACAACAUGGAAACCAUUACGGACGAGAACAGACCAUUGACGCCAAGAGCCAUCCAUCUCCCGAUAGAAGGGUGGGACGCCUCUCUCCUCAAGAGGAGACGGAAAAGGGUACUUCUCCUCUGUCUCGGGAGGAUAAAAUAAGGGAGAGUCCUCUAACACGUGAAUGUUUCGACCACAGGCUUCGGGAGGAAGUUGGGAAGAAUCGUCCGCGGCCAGGGGAGGUGCUUCGACAACAGGGAC